rnacentral:rRNA from 1 species
GUCGAACGGUAACAGGAAGCAGCUUGCUGCUUCGCUGACGAGUGGCGGACGGGUGAGUAAUGUCUGGGAAACUGCCUGAUGGAGGGGGAUAACUACUGGAAACGGUAGCUAAUACCGCAUAACGUCGCAAGACCAAAGAGGGGGACCUUCGGGCCUCUUGCCAUCGGAUGUGCCCAGAUGGGAUUAGCUAGUAGGUGGGGUAACGGCUCACCUAGGCGACGAUCCCUAGCUGGUCUGAGAGGAUGACCAGCCACACUGGAACUGAGACACGGUCCAGACUCCUACGGGAGGCAGCAGUGGGGAAUAUUGCACAAUGGGCGCAAGCCUGAUGCAGCCAUGCCGCGUGUAUGAAGAAGGCCUUCGGGUUGUAAAGUACUUUCAGCGGGGAGGAAGGCGAUAAGGUUAAUAACCUUGUCAAUUGACGUUACCCGCAGAAGAAGCACCGGCUAACUCCGUGCCAGCAGCCGCGGUAAUACGGAGGGUGCAAGCGUUAAUCGGAAUUACUGGGCGUAAAGCGCACGCAGGCGGUCUGUCAAGUCGGAUGUGAAAUCCCCGGGCUCAACCUGG